CAGCCCCGCCGCGGGACAAGCCCGCUUCGCCGCGCUUUACCUCUGCGCCCCACGCCCGCGCGGCGGGAAGGAGGGUGCGGCGGCCGAGAGGCGGCAGCAGGAAUUUGUACGCCGCCAUCUUCGCGCUGCACGACUCGGAGAAGGAGCGGAGGGGCUGCGGGCAGAGACGAGCGGGAGGCGGCGGCCGUCCAACGGCGGGCGGAAGAUCCGAGCACGCUGAGGACGGCGGCUCCGGGUCACAUGUGCCGAAGGAGGGAUUUCUUCUGCAAGAAUGAGGUUAUUUUAC
rnacentral:lncRNA from 1 species